rnacentral:SRP_RNA from 1 species
GGUUGGGUCCUGCGCGGCGGGAUCUUCGAACCGUGUCAGGGGCGGAAGCCAGCAGCACUAAGGAGUCAUUCCCGGGUGCCGCAGGAGUGCCUGACCUGA